AUAUUGGGGAGAGACCGAUAGCGAACAAGUACCGUGAGGGAAAGAUGAAAAGAACUUUGGAAAGAGAGUUAAACAGUACGUGAAAUUGCUGAAAGGGAAACGCUUGAAGUCAGUCGCGUCGUCCGGGAAUCAGCCUUCCUUCUGGUUGGUGUACUUCCUGGUCGACGGGCCAGCAUCAGUUUUGACCGGUGGAAAAAGUUCGAGGGAAUGUGGCACCUCCGGGUGUGUUAUAGCCCUCGUUCGUGUACAUCGGUUGGGACUGAGGAACUCAGCACGCCGCAAGGCCGGGAUUCGUCCACGUUCGUGCUUAGGAUGCUGGCAUAAUGGCUUUAAUCGACCCGUCUUGAAACACGGACC
rnacentral:rRNA from 1 species